UCCCCGUUCCACCGCACGCAAGUCGCGACC
rnacentral:sRNA from 1 species